AUACGUAGGGUGCAAGCGUUAUCCGGAAUUAUUGGGCAUAAAGAGCUCGUAGGCGGCUUGUCGCGUCUGGUGUGAAAGUCCAUCGCUUAACGGUGGAUCUGCGCCGGGUACGGGCAGGCUAGAGUGCGGUAGGGGAGACUGGAAUUCCCGGUGUAACGGUGGAAUGUGUAAAAAGAUAUCGGGAAGAACACCAAUGGCGAAGGCAGGUCUCUGGGCCGUCACUGACGCUGAGGAGCGAAAGCGUGGGGAGC
rnacentral:rRNA from 1 species